rnacentral:misc_RNA from 1 species
CAUUGUAGCUUUAGAUGAAUAUGGUAAUUUGAUGCAUAUCAUUUUUCAUAAAAGAAAAAUCUUAACUUGGGGUCAUAAUUAUAAGUUUAAACAGUUAUUAUUGAUUUUUGAUGCUUGAUCCUUUGCCUAAAUCUUAUUUUUUUAAUUAGAAAUUUACCCCAAGAAUAAUAAUGAAUGGUUGGUUUAAUUUACUUAUAAAACUGCAAACAGGAAACAAGGAUAAGGGAUGUAGAAAAAAUAAGUAGCAAACAUAAAGCUAUGUGUUUUGUGGAAUAAUACUUGGCUUAAACUCAUUUCUGAACUUAGAUAUGUUUUAUUAAUCUUGAAGUUUUGCAAAGGACUGAUAAAUUUACAUGCUAUCUUAUUUGUCCUUCAACUGGCAGCAUCAGUGUUUGGUGUUUUUCUCUUAUUGAUCUAUUGUUAAAUACUCAUUUGAAUAUAUAAAAUUUAUGAUUGAGAACAACAAUUCAGUAUAGUAGAUGGUGUAUCAAUUGGAUUAAUUUACAUCCAGAUUCACGGGAUGGCAGAAUCAGUGCAUUCAAUUUAAAAAUAUGAUCUAAAAUAUUUCUGGUACAUGCAUGAAUUCUGUAUGCUGG